rnacentral:misc_RNA from 1 species
AAUCAAUUAUACCGACGCAAAAUGUCUAUAAAUAGGGGGAAAGAUCCCCAGCCGCAGGGCCGCUCGCUGGAGAUGCUGCUGCUGCUGGUGCUGGCCGCCGCCUGGUGUUGCCUGGAGACGGCCGAGGCACACGUGGCCCUCACCUACCCGCCUGCACGGCAGUACGAUCUGGACUUUCUGGACAACUCGCGGACGAAGGCGCCCUGCGGCAUGCCCAAAGGCACCAUCCGCACCUCGCUGCUGUCCGGCUCCGUCUUCAAUGUCACCUGGCACCUGGCCUAUCCGCACAAGGGGGGCUUUCGGCUGCAGCUGCUCGAUGCCCUCGAUCGGCCCGUUCUCGACCUGACGCCGCACGUCAACAACUCGGAGUUUGUGCGCACGGACGUCACCGCCCAGUCGUAUCCCGUGAACAUACCCAAGGAGUUCGAGUGCUUCAACUGCACUCUGCGGCUGCUGCGACAGGCCGACGAGUGGUCCAACAGCUACCGGUUCUGGUCGUGUGCCGACGUCGACAUCAAGCAGCGGAAGGACUUCAAGGAGACGUGCUCCGGGCACGGCAAGUACUUCCCCUCGCGCUGCAAGUGCGAGAAGAACUUUUACGGAGCCCAAUGCCAGUAUCGGGAUGAGUGCGCCGCCGACUCCGACUGCGGCGUCCAGGGAAAGUGCAUCGACCUCGGCGGCACCUCGCUGCCCCGCCGUCAGUGCUACUGCAACUUCGGAUGGUUCGGGCUGGGGUGCAACAAGCGAUCGCCCUACAAGAGCACCGACCUCGACCUCUCCUCCUACACCAAGAAGGAGCUCUCGGCCGACUACCAUGUCUACUGGCGCCUCCUGGAGGAGCAGAAGGAGAUCGAGGUGGUUCUUAAGGUGAACGGCAGCUCCUGGGUGGGUCUUGGAUGGCGCCCGCGUGGCCUUACCCCGGAGUGCAAGAACUUCCCGCUCAUACGUGACAUCGGGGACUUGACCACGACUCUGGAACCGAAGAGCGAACCGGAACCAAAGAGCGAGCCAGAGCCCAAGAGUGAACCGGAACCUAAGAGCGAACCAGAGCCCAAGAGUGAACCAGAGCCGAAGAGUGAACCUGAGCCUAAAAGUGAGCCAGAGCCUAAGAGUGAGCCUGAACCGAAGAGCGAGCCUGAGCCGAAGAGCGAACCUGAGCCGAAGAGUGAGCCUGAGCCGAAGAGUGAGCCUGAGCCGAAGAGCGAGCCUGAGCCGAAGAGCGAACCAGAACCGAAGAGCGAACCUGAGCCGAAGAGUGAACCAGAGCCGAAGAGUGAACCUGAGGCGAAGAGUGAGCCUGAGCCGAAGAGUGAGCCUGAGCCGAAGAGCGAACCAGAACCUAAAAGCGAACAUGAACCUAAGAGUGAGCCAGAACCUAAGAGUGAACCUGAACCUAAGAGCGAACCUGAGCCGAAGAGCGUCCCUGAGCCGAAGAGCGAACCUGAGCCGAAGAGUGAGCCAGAGCCGAAGAGUGAGCCAGAACCUAAGAGUGAGCCAGAGCCGAAGAGUGAGCCAGAACCUAAAAGUGAGCCAGAGCCGAAGAGUGAACCGGAGCCGAAGAGUGAACCAGAGCCUACCAGCGAACCGGAACCCAAGAGCGCACCGGAACCCACUAGUGAACCAGAGCCUAAAAGCGAACCGGAAGCGGAACCGAAGAGUGAGCCUGCGGCCCAGAGUUCAAAGACCAAACGAGUUGCCGGAGACUAUGACCAGGUGGACGGAGUUACUUCUGUCGCCACAAGCGUCUCCUACCGUGUCAGCAGCAAUGCACAGCGCAGCCGCCGGGAGGCGACAGAAUCGCCCAAGUACCGCUUGAACCCGUACACGCCGAUUCACGACUUCAAUCCCAUGGACUGCACGGACAUUGUGAUUGGAGCGGCACGUGGCAUGGCCAGUCGGGUGGGAGACUACUACACGCGGGACCGAUCGACGCCGCGCAGCGAUGAGUUCUACGGCGGAAAGUCGAACCUGGCCCUGGGCACUGGCUUCGAAGAGAACGGCGUGACCACGAUCAUAUUCCGCAAGAAACUGGUGGCCACGGAGCCCACGGACCACACCCUGGACGAUGCGCUGACCCACGUGAUCUGGGCCAAGGGCCAGGAGCCGGGAAGCUAUGUGCACGUACCAGCCUCUGGGCUGGAGACCCAGUCCUCCAGCGUGAAGGACUUCUACCAGCCGGACGAGCUGAAGUACCACGGCCACAAGAUGCAGCGCGGAUUCACGCAGAUCAACUUCUUUGAGAAAGGGAAAGCAGACGCUAGUGCGGACAGGAAUGACCUGACCACGAAUGUGCUGGACAACGAUUGCUACGGCCACUGGAAGUAUCCGUCCAACUGCUCGCCCCAGGAGCACACCUGCGAGUACUACGCCGCCUGGUCGACUGUCGGGCGCGGCGACGAGAUGCGCUGGCACAUUGAGACGUCGAACACGGAGACCUGGACGGGCAUCGGCUUCAGCGAGGAUCAGCGUAUGUCGCAAACCGAUGCCAUUAUCGGCUGGGUGGACAAGCGCAACGGUCGACCCUUCCUCAUGGACACGUGGGUGCUGGGCUACGCCCCGCCCAAGCUGGACGAUCGCCAGGAUAUCUACAACGCCUCGGGGCGUAUCGACAAGGGCGUCACGAUCCUGGAGUUCAACCGGAAGCGCGUCAGCAAUGACGAGCAGGAUCUGUCCUUCACAGACGACCACUGCCUCUAUCUGUUCUUCCCCGUCCUAGGGGGCGCCUUCAACGUGGUCAACAAGAAGAUCCGAAAGCACGAGCAGGUGCCGCCGGUCUCCUCGCGCCGCGUGUGCAUCAAGUCCUGUGGCAAAGAACUGGAGGCUGUGUUUGUUGGCACUAGUACGCCGGCACCCAGCCGCCUAGUCUACGCCGUCUUUUUGAAGCUGAUGAACCUGGGCGAGUCCUAUGAAGCACCCAAGGCGGGGACCGUGGAGUUCAACAACCUGGCUGCCACCAUCUCGGACUCCUUUAACGGCAUCUUGAGUCCCCUUCCCGGAUACUACAAGACGGAGAUUCUGGGCUUUGAAAAGGAGGGCAGCACGAUGGUCGCCAAGGUGCAGGCUAUGUUCGACAAGGCAGAUGUGGAGAAGAUGCAUGAGCUGGACAACAACACGGUGGAGAAGAGCGGCGAAGGAGCCGCCCAGAAGAACGCCGAUGUGAUCCGCGCGGCGUUACAGGAUCAGAUAGCCACCGGCCGCGUGGGCUCUCUGACUGUGGAUCCCCAGUAUCUCGACUUUGAGGCGCUGGAAUACAAGAGCACCACCGAAACAAACGCCAAGGAGACACUGCUCUCCUUCUUCGACCUUUCCGAGACGCGUUUGUACAUAGUCCUCGGUCUGAUUGCGGCCCUGGUGCUCAUCGCUUUGAUCCAGGCCUUCUGCACCAUUUGGAAGACGUCGCGCAAGAGCAAGAACACCAAGCUGGUUUACGUUAUACCCGAGGAGUGGCGCAUGUACCAACAGCGACAGCAUCAGCGCUACUACCAGCCCUCUAGCGAUCUAUAAGACUCGAUACCGCCAAGCAAGAACCACACAUUCAGAUCAGAAAUCCAUACAUGUCACUGUCACACCCACUGCCCGAUCAUCCUUCGAACCCAGACAUCAGCUACAAAGCUCAGCUACUCAGCUGCCUUAAGUGCCUUUAAGGAUCACAGAAUCCCAUCCUACAGUUAGAGUCCACGCGGAAGCCUCUCUCGAUCGUGUACCAUUUGCCAGCUGUUUGCGUUUAUCAAAAUCUUACGAGUAUCUAGAACUGAAUUGGAGAAACUCAUCCAGAACUCGCCCUGGAAGGAGUUCGCCUCGAACACCAACUACGCCUUCGACCCCUACGGCGAGACGGAGGAGAAGCA